rnacentral:lncRNA from 1 species
GAAAACCUAAAGUUUUGAUACUGUCGUUUAGGAUUUCCAACAAAGAUGUGGCUCUCAGGAAGUUUAAGGUUUUCUUCUCCUCCUUUCCUUCUCAAGUUUCCUUCUUUUCUUCCAAUCCUCACUUCCUUCUUUUGCUCUCAUUCUCACUCCCAAACCUUCUUACACCACGAAGCUAUCUCAAAAUUCAAUCGCUUGCUUCAUAUGCCUGAGGUUCCUCCCAUCUUCGAAUUUGGAAAGAUUUUGGGAUUCCUUGGGAAGACGAAGCACUAUCCUACUGCUAUUUUUCUCAGUAAGCAAAUGGAACUCAAGGGAAUUCAGCCUAAUCUUGUUACUCUCAACAUCCUCAUCAAUUGUUUUUGUCACUUAGACCAAUUGGCCUUAGCUUUAUCUGUAUUUGCCAAGAUUCUCAAACUGGGUUAUCACCCAAAUGACAUAACAUUAACUACACUCAUCAGAGGUCUCUGUGAUAAGGGCGAGAUCAAAAAAGCACUCUACUUUCACGACAAAGUAGUAGCACUAGGAUUUCCACUCGACCAGUUCACUUACGGGACUCUGAUCAAUGGAUUGUGCAGAAUAGGGGAAACUAAAACUGCCAUCGAGUUGCUCAGAAGGAUUGAAGGUCGAUCAACGGUAAUGUACAGUAUAAUUAUUGACCGUCUAUUCAAAGAUAAACUUCCAAAAGAAGCAUAUGAUAUGUAUUCUGAAAUGGUUGUGAAGGGAAUUUCUCGAGAUGUUGUUACCUAUACUACUCUAGUUUAUGGCUUGUGCUCUGUUAAUCAGUUAGAACAAGCGUUAGGAUUGAUAAAUGAAAUGCUAUCAAAUAGCAUCCAGCCAAAUGUUUAUACCUAUAGUAUAUUGAUUAAUGCAUUGGGUAAGCAAGGAAAGCUAAGAGAAGCCAAGAAUGUAUUGGGUGUGAUGGUGAAAGUUUAUAUGAAACUUAAUGAUUUUAGCUUUAAUGCUUUAAUGGAUGGGUAUUGCUUUGUUAAUGAAGUGAAUAUUGCUAAACAAGUAUUCAAUGCAAUGACCCACAUGAGAGUGAGUCCUACUUUAUACAGCUAUAAUAUCAUGAUAAAUGGACUCAUAAUCAACGAUAGGGUGGAUGAGGCCAUAAAUUUAUUUCAGGAAAUGCACAAGAGGAAUGUCAUUCCUAAUACAGUAACUUACAAUAUUAUUAUAGAUGGUUAUUGCAAAUUUGGAAGAAUAGAUUAUGUUUGGGAUCUUAUUGACAAGAUGCACUGUAGUAAUCAUCAACCAGACACCAUCACUUACAGUUGUUUGUUAGAUGCUUUAUGCAAAAACCACCAUCUAGACAAAGCAUUUGACUUAUUCAAAACAAUGAUGGAAAAAGGAAUUCAGCCGGAUAUGUACACAUGGAGCAUACUUAUUAAUGGAAUGUGCAAAGGGGGAAGACUUGAGAAGGCACAAGAGAUCUUUCAAGAUCUUUUAAUUAAAGGCUACCCUUUAGAUGUAUGUAAUUAUAGUACUAUGAUCAAUGGUCUUUGUAAAGAGGGUUUACUUGAUGAGGCAUUGACCUUAUGGUCCAAAAUGGAAGACAAUGGUUGUUUGCCUGAUGCACUAGCUUUCGAAAUAAUGAUUAGGGCUCUCUUUGAAAAGGACAAGACUGAUAUGGCAGAGACAUUUCUUUGUGAAAUGAUCUCUAGAGGUUUGAUAAAAGGUGAAACCUUAUUUAUUAGAGGAGUGUUACCUUUCUGCAACUUAUUUUUUACAUGCUGGAUGUGGAGUUGAUAUUUUUUUAUUUUGUACCCUGCAUUUUGAUUGCUAUAGAACUUCUGUUUUCUUUGACUUUGCAUUUUUAUUGUAGAAUUUGUUUAACUGAUUAGUACAGGGUUUGAAAUGAAUGAUUUCAUUGUCUUUCUAGACCAAAAUGGUGACGUCGCUUCCUGUCUAAAAUCUGGAUGGCUUUUUUAUUUUUAACUGUUUGAUAUUCCCCAUUCAUGUUCGUCAGAACCCAAAUAUGUUUUUUCUGUAGGGCUUUUUCAGUGUUACACCUAAGGGAAGCUAUAUUUCUUUCAUUAUUAUAGAAAUCACAUUUUCAUAUAGAAAUAUAGUUUAAGUGUGCAAGGAAAUAAGGUUGGGAGGGACAAGGAAGAAAAACAGUGGAUAUACUUAGGACAAUCCCAAUUCCCAUGAUAAUAGAUAAUGCACAGCUAUUGAGCAUUUGGUGGGGAAAUUGUUGGACAAAAGUUUCAAGUUCAUUUUACUUUUAGAAGUUAUCUAUCACAUAAUAAGAUUAUUUAAGAAGUGUACAAUCAUACCAUAUUACCUUAUUGUUAUUUUGAUAUAACUCAUUACAAGUUUUCUAUUAUUUAAAUAAGCUUCAAUCCAAUGAAACGAGGGGCCAUUAAUAAAUCAGUGAAAUUCUAUAAUAUGCUCUUUGUUUACAAAAUAAUCAGUUUUGCUGGAUAAAUACUACUGCUGCUGUUAAACAGAGAAAUGCUAGACACAAUAUUGAUCUUUGACAUCUAAGAUCAGAACAUCUAUCUACUAGGAGAUUGGAUGUAAUGAAAUACAAAUAUUAUUUUGUUGUUCAUAGUAGCAAAGAUCUUAUCUGUUAUACUUGCCAUCUUGCUAAACAGAAGGAACCUUCUUUCUCUGCUAGUAAUUCUCAUGCUGAAAAUAGUUUUGAUCUCAUACAUGUGCAUAUUUACGGACCAUGUUCUAGCAUUUCUAUAAAUGGAUACUGAUAUUUUUUUACUAUUGUUGGUGAUAAUACUCGUUUUAGCUUGUUUGAUUAAAUUUAUUGAGUGUGUAAAAACUCAGUUUCAGAAAGUGUGUUAGAACUGAUGAUGGUUUGGAAUUUAAGACGAGUGAUUACUUUGAAACAUCAGAACAAAAUGCUCUAGUUGAACGGAAAUACCAACAUAUUUUAAAUCUUACUAGAUUUUCCUUUUCAAGCUAAUCUUUCUUAUCAAUUCUGUAGCUUUGCUGUUAUUCAUGCUGUUUUCUUGAUAAACUGUAUUCCUGCACAUUUCCUUGAUAAUAUCUCGCCUUUUGAAAAGUUAUAUGACAAGCUAAGUGAUAUAUUUAUACUUGUUUGAUUUUUAAAUUUUCAGAAAAAGAAAAAAGAAAAAAGAAGAGGCUAACAGCUGCUGUGGUGCGAGAAUUGGAGUUGAGCAGUUUUGAGCAAUCAUUGAAGAACAACUUGUAAUAUGUUUGACUUGUUGCUGUCAAUUGAAGACUUGAACGAAACCAACCCACACAACCUGGACCUGCCAAGUCAAAGAGAAAGAAACAGUUUGAGUUCAAGCAAUGCAACCUGCGCUGACCUCUUGGAUUAUAUCUGAAUAAAGGAGCUUGAAGAGUCAAUUUAUCUGCGCUGACCUCUUGGUACAAAAUAAGUAUGCUCCAACAGUACAUAUCCGGCUGGAUUCCUUUUUCAUCUUUGUCUCUUAUAAUUCAAAUGCUUUGUCUAUAUGAUAGAUUUUGCAUGAAGCAUCUAACAAACAAUCAUAAGUAAUUUUGUUUGGUUGUUGAUUUCUAUCAUGCAUCUCGUCAAUAUGACCCAUAAGAGGAUUGUAAGUUACUUUCAUUUAUGUAUUUUCUGAAAGAGAUUUAUGUAUCUUAUCGUUCCUUAUGAAUCCAUUUAUCAUGAUAUUGUAGCUUGGAAACAAUAGGACUCACUCUCAAGCAUUGCAUUGAAUACUUGUUUCAUUGAAUACUUGUUUCGCAUCUUCACUUCAUUAACUAAUUAAUACCCAUCCAUUAAAGUAUUAAAGCUAAAAUCAGUAGGCUUCACAUAGGCUUUCACCAUCAUACCCAAUAUCUUCGCUGUGCUUAACCAUAAUUAAAGCAUAAUUCUAAUACCACUGUCUUAACGACAAACUAAAACUUUAUUCACUAAAUAUAAUCAAAUUCAAAAAUUAAUAUUCUUAACUUUAACUAAAAUCAAUGAUUACAAAAAUAAUACAUUUUCGAAAUAUAAUUACUAAAAUAAUCAUAGAUUCUCUCCAACGUAAUUCAUAGAACUAUUCAUCAUCAUUGUGUCUCUUCUGAUAUAAAAAUAUCAUCAUAGUAGUCACACACACAAAAUAAAGAAAAAUAAGGAUAUAAAGAAAAAUAAGGAUGAGCUAACUCACAAACAAUAUAAUUCACAAUCAUGAUUCAUAACAGAAUAAUAUAUCCCAUAACAUUAUAUCCAUAUUUUGCAGUUUAUAGCAUCAGUUGUCUCGUACAACAAUACAAAACUCAAGUGAUGUCAACAUAAAGCAUCGACUCAAAGAAAGUCACCUUAUAAAUUACUUUCACAGUAAUUUCACCUCGACUAAAAAUAAGAUAAAAAAAUUUAGAUAUAUAUAUAUAUAUAUGGGUGUAGACCUUACUCUACAAACCAGUUUUAUGAGGUUGAGUUAGAUUUAAAUUCACUUCUCAACAUUAUAUCAAGGUCAUGAGUUAAAGUAUGUCAUAGCGAUAUUUGUGUUUGUUAGACAUAUCAUUUCACUCGCUAUCAGACCACUCAUUAAUGUUCAGUCUUACGCAUGAUAUCAAUAUACCUUGAGGUGAGGGUGAUGUGUUGGUAGUUCCACAUUAACUAGAGAUAUGAUUAAUUUAGAAUAUGUUGAAAGUUUAUUUUUUUUGGAGUUGAAAUAGACUUAAAGUGCACUUCUUAAUAAUUAGGAAAAUAAAAUUUUAACACCAUUUUUUGACACCAUUUUAACACUGCACACGUGUCAAAAUGUGAUUGGACGAUUUCAAAUUAAAAAAUAAACUUUAGUUUUUUUCUUCCAAACAUACCCCUGUUCCAACUUUUUUAAUUUGAAAUCGUCUAAUCACAUUUUGACACGUGUACAGUGUCAAAAUAGUGUCAAAAAAUGGUGUUAAAAUAUCAUUUUCCUAAUAAUUAUACUCUUUUGAGAACUAAACAAAUAUCAAAUUUUCACUUACAACUCAAUCACAUGGCUUACUAAAACCCCUAUAUCCAGAUUCUUUAGACAAAGUUCAUUCCCUCAUUGCUUUUUCCAAAAAGACUCAUGCAUGAAGGUUACCAGUUAUACUACCAUGCAGAAUCUAUUAGUCAUUCACUUUCAUAAAGCUAAAACCUCUCCUAUUCACUAAAAUUGAGUUCACUUCUCAAUACUCUGCUAAGGAGAUUAAUUAGCAUAAUACGUAAAUUGUCACCCACAAUUACUUUUUAUUAAAACUCAAAGACACAACAAAUACUUUUAAUACCAAAACAUAAUAACAAAAAUACCCACCACACCAAGGUCAUCAAUGGCCAAACACAGUGCUAAUUUUUCAUCCGUGGUACUCUAACAGAAGUAAUUGCCAAAACGUUUCAGCUUUGUCCCCUAAAAACUACUAGUAUUUACUCUUGUAACUCACACGGUAUUUUACAAUGCAAUGUUAAUAUUUUUUUCUUUUUUUAAAGAUGUGUAUAAUUAUUCAUGACAUUUAUUCAAUUAAUAAUUAAUAAUAAUAUUUAAAAAUAAGUAAAUUUUUAAUAAUUUUCAUAUUUUUAAUAAAUAAUAUUAGUUUCUAAAUAUCAAAAGUUCAGGUUUAUUGUUAACAUAAAUAUAACAAUUCAUUUUUAUGUCAACAGUAAUAUCUCUAAUAUUGUAAUACUGUUAUAUUAUUAUAGUUUAACAGUGUAAUAGUAUCAUAAUCUUAUAGUAAAAUAGUUUAAUAUUCAUAAUAUAAUAGUCUAAUAACGUAAUAUUGUAAUAAUGUUAUAAUAUAAUAUUUUUAUAGUAUAACACUCUAACAGUGUAAUAGUAUAAUAUUAUAAUAAUUUUAUAGUAUUAUAAUCUAAUAUUAUACUAGAACAGUGUAAUUAUAGAAUAAUAUUAUCUAAUUAUAAAUAUAUUUGUUUACUUAAGAAUCUUAUAUUGUUAUAUAUGUACGAAAGCCACAAAAAUAGUUAGAUGAUUAUUUUCGUAAAAUUUCACUUUUGAUUGCGGUUAUAUAAAAUGUGACUUUUUUUUUUUUAUGUAAGUUAUAGAAAUAAUUAUUUAUUCAUUUUAAUAUUUUUUUCAACUAAAACAUAAUAUGGAAAUCAAAAUAUCUAAUUUUUAAAAAAAACUUAUAAAAGAAGUUUUAACGGAUUCUUUUUUCAAAAAUGUAAAUAGAGAAAACAUACAUAUUCAAUUUCAUAGAAAAACUUAGUUCUUAUUUUUGUAUGAAAUUAUUUGUGAAUUAAAUUAACAUGAAAAUUACUCGCAGAAUUUAAAUUUAUAGUAAAAUGUAUUUGCUGUUUUUCAAAUAAACGAUAAAGAAUUUUACAGGGAAUUUAUUUUCACAUCAAAAAUUUUUAAAGAUUAUUUUUAUAAAAGAAUUUGUAAAAAAAAAUUAUUAAUGUUUAUAUCCUUUAAUAACUAGUUAUUAACGAAUAAAUUCCUUAGUCAUCAAAAUUGGUAAGAAAAAUAAUAAAUAACGCUUUUGAUUUAAAUAUUUUAAUAAAAUAACAUACAAUUUUUUUUUAUUAAAUAUCAAAACUUCUAGUGUUACAUAUACACAUACUAAAGUAGAACUAAUUUUCUUAAUCUGUUGAAUUUGAGUGUUUAUAUUUUUGUAUUUAACAAUUAAGAUGUUGAUAUUGGUGAAAGGUAGGAAUGAAAAGAAAUAUACAUGAGAAAAUUUCCAAAAUAAAUUAUAGUGAAUAUUUAAUUUUAUUAUCUAAUUUUGAUGAGUUAAAUUUAAUAUUUAUAGUCAUAUAUAAAUUUAAAUACAGCAUUUCUAUUACUAUUUUCGAUAUUCAAGUCUAAUAUAUAAUAUAAGUUUAGGUGAAAAAAAAAAUUAACUAUGUUGUGGAGUAAUUAAUUUUAAGUAUAUAAAAGUUUAAUUUUUUAUUUUUUUUCUUUACUGUUGUAAUAUAGACAGAAAAUGCUUACUCAAAAUAUUAUAAUUUUAAAAUAUAAUUAAAAAUAAAAUAAAAUAUAACAUAUUUUCUUACUUUUUAUUAUUAUUAUUAUUAUUAUAUAUAUAUAUAUAUACAUAUAUAUAUAUAUAUNNNNNNNNNNNNNNNNNNNNNNNNNNNNNNNNNNNNNNNNNNNNNNNNNNAUAUAUAUAUAUAUAUAUAUAUAUAUAUAUAUAUAUAUAUAUAUAUAUAUAUAUAUAUAUAUAUAUAUAUAUAUAUAUAUUUUGAUAAAUUAUAUUUAAAUUUGUUAUAACAUAUUUAUUAUCAUUUUUGUUGGCAAUAAUUUAAUUGUCAUCCCAAAACCUAACUUCUAUCUUCAGCAAUGAUGUCGCCCUCAAGAUUUUCUUCUCUUCCUAAGUUUCCUCCUUUUUUUCCAAUCCUCAAUUCUCUCUUUUGUUCUCACUCUCACUCCCAAACCUUCUUACAGUAUGAAGCUAUCUCACAAUUCAAUCGCUUGCUUCAUAUGCCUGAGGUUCCUUCCAUCUUCGAAUUUGGAAAGAUUUUGGGAUUCCUUGUGAAGAAGAAGCACUGUCCUACUGUUAUCUCUCUCAGUAAGCAAAUGGAACUCAAGGGAAUUCAGCCUAACCUUGUUACUCUCAACAUCCUCAUCAAUUGUUUUUGUCACUUAGACCAAUUGGCCUUAGCUUUCUCUGUAUUUGCCAAGAUUCUCAAACUGGGUUAUCACCCAGAUGACAUAACAUUAACUACACUCAUCAGAGGUCUCUGUGAUAAGGGUGAGAUCAUGAAAGCACUCGACUUUCACGACAAAGUAGUAGCACUGGGAUUUCAGCUCGACCAAUUUGCUUACGGGACUCUGAUCAAUGGAUUGUGCAAGGUAGGAGAAACUAAAGCUGCCAUCGACUUAUUUAGAAGGAUUGAAGGUCGAUCAACUGUAAUUUACAAUAUAAUUAUUGAUUGUCUAUUCAAAGAUAAACGUCCAAAAGAAGCUUA